CUAGCUAGCUCGCUCUAUGUAUGUAAGUGUUGUUCUCGCACGCGCGCGCGCACGUACGCAUGUAACCGCCAAUUGCAAUAUUUGAAAAAAGAACCCGAUCAACCACUGUUUUGCUGUUCAGAAGUCCGUCUAUAAUUCAUCAUAAACUAAAGGAACACAGGUCAGAUUCGGACAACGACUUCAAAUUCAUUCGCAGAAUACGCUAAACAAUUGGACGACGGAUACACUGGAUGAUAAUGUAGAUGGUCCAGGAUUAUCUGGGAAGGAAACUACAGGUGUUGAACACAGAAAACCGUUUACAAGAAAACAACUGGAGUUUGUGAAAGCUGAAAGAAAUUAAUCUUGCCGGGUACGCAUUCACUUCACCUUGGUCGAGUGCAGCACAGUGGAUAAAUGUGUUGCUGAAGGAAAACACCAUUGCUAGGAUUCAAACCCACGACACUCUGUUGAAAGGUGAGAGUCAGAACCACUAGACCACGACGCACCCACAAUUAACAAGCUGAUGUCAUACCCCCACUUGUUCUUUUGUAUUUUAUAACAAGAAUUCAUGUUUAUUCACAUUUUGACCUCCAAGAACUAAAAAGUGGAGUGAAGAUUUAUUUAAUGUAAACACAUGCAUUGCUUGAAAUCAUUUCAUGCUACGUGGGACAUAUCAUACACACGUGUACGAAAAUAUGAAAUU